rnacentral:lncRNA from 1 species
GUUUGUUGGUCCCUUCCAGCAAGUAAGGAUGCAGCAAAGAGGCCAUUUGGGAAUCAGGAAGUGAACUAUCCCCAGGUCUCAAUUACCCAACACUUUCAUCUGGGACGUCCCAGGCUCCAGAACUGUAAGGACAGACUCACGGUGCUUAUGAACUCUGUGGUAUUCUGUUAGAACAGCCUGAAAGGACAAAGUCAAUGCCCAGGGAUGACUUUCUCCUAGAAGGUGGAUUAAAUCCAUGUGAGAUUUUUGGUACGGCAUCAGCCACACACUUCAAGGUCUGUAUGUCAGUAUCCUAUGGAAGACGCUGUGUGUUGUGA